AGUCUGGUGCCAGCAGCCGCGGUAAUUCCAGCUCCAAUAGCGUAUAUUAAAGUUGUUGCAGUUAAAAAGCUCGUAGUUGAAUUUCGGGAUCAAUUUAUCGGUCGUGCCAAUGGUAUGAACUGGUACAAUUGGUUUCUCCCUUCUGACGAAGCAUGAUGUCAUUAAUUUGGUGUCGUGGGGAAUCAGGACUGUUACUUUGAAAAAAUUAGAGUGUUUAAAGCAAGCAUUAGCUUGAAUACAUUAGCAUGGAAUAAUGAAAUAGGACGUUUGAUCCUAUUUCGUUGGUUUCUAGGAUCGACGUAAUGAUUAAUAGGGAUAGUUGGGGGCAUUAGUAUUCAAUUGUCAGAGGUGAAAUUCUUGGAUUUAUUGAAGACUAACUACUGCGAAAGCAUUUGCCAAGGAUGUUUUCAUUAAUCAAGAACGAAAGUUAGGGGAUCGAAGACGAUCAGAUACCGUCGUAGUCUUAACCAUAAACUAUGCCGACUAGGGAUCGGAUGAUGUUAAUUUUUUAAUGACUCAUUCGGCGCCUUACGGGAAACCAAAGUGUUUGGGUUCCGGGGGGAGUAUGGUCGCAAGGCUGAAACUUAAAGGAAUUGACGGAAGGGCACCACCAGGGGUGGAGCCUGCGGCUUAAUUUGACCCAACACGGGGAAACUCACCAGGUCCAGACAUAGUAAGGAUUGACAGAUUGAGAGCUCUUUCUUGAUUCUAUGGGUGGUGGUGCAUGGCCGUUCUUAGUUGGUGGAGUGAUUUGUCUGGUUAAUUCCGAUAACGAACGAGACCUUAACCUGCUAAAUAGCUAGGCUUAGCAUUGCUAGGUCGUCAGCUUCUUAGAGGGACUAUCGGUGUUUAACCGAUGGAAGUUUGAGGCAAUAACAGGUCUGUGAUGCCCUUAGAUGUUCUGGGCCGCACGCGCGCUACACUGGUGAAGUCAACGAGUUCACUCCCUUUGUCGGAAGACAUGGGUAAUCUUUUGAAACUUCAUCGUGCUGGGGAUAGAGCAUUGCAAUUAUUGCUCUUAAACGAGGAAUCCCUAGUAAGUACAAGUCAUCAGCUUGUGCUGAUUACGUCCCUGCCCUUUGUACACACCGCCCGUCGCUACUACCGAUUGAAUGGCUUAGUGAGGACUUCGGAUUGAGCUUCGGAAGCUGUAAAAGGCAUCCGAUUUUUAAAAAGUUGUUCAAACUUGGUCAUUUAGAGGAAGUAAAAGUC
rnacentral:rRNA from 1 species